GCGUCGGUAGUUCAGUGGUAGAAUACUCGCCAGCCACGCGGGUGACCCGGGUUCAAUUCCCGGCCGACACA
rnacentral:tRNA from 1 species